UAUUAAAAAUUUCAUCCACUUAUACGGUUAAAAACUAGCAUGAUUAAAGGAAUAACCAAACAACGACAUGUGAUGUGCCAUAUGUACCUCAUGCUGAUGUGCAAUAACCAACUUUUAGCAACAGAAAUAGAUAAAGUAAAUAAUA
rfam:Gossypium raimondii Chr02_contig_524, whole genome shotgun sequence.